rnacentral:rRNA from 1 species
GCACAGCACCCUGAACAUGCCCAAUCUCUUCUGAUCUCAGGAGCUGAGCAGAGUCAGGCCUGGUUAGUACCUGGAUAGGAAAACCAGAAUCCUUUUUGAGAAAGACAGGAACU